rnacentral:rRNA from 1 species
GGACCCGCACAAGUAGUGGAGCAUGUGGUUUAAUUCGAAGCAACGCGCAGAACCUUACCAGCCCUUGACAUCCAGAGAAGCCAGCGGAGACGCAGGUGUGCCUUCGGGAGCUCUGAGACAGGUGCUGCAUGGCUGUCGUCAGCUCGUGUUGUGAAAUGUUGGGUUAAGUCCCGCAACGAGCGCAACCCUUAUCCUUGUUUGCCAGCACGUAAUGGUGGGAACUCCAGGGAGACUGCCGGUGAUAAACCGGAGGAAGGUGGGGACGACGUCAAGUCAUCAUGGCCCUUACGAGUAGGGCUACACACGUGCUACAAUGGCGCAUACAGAGGGCAGCAAGCUAGCGAUAGUGAGCGAAUCCCAAAAAGUGCGUCGUAGUCCGGAUUGGAGUCUGCAACUCGACUCCAUGAAGUCGGAAUCGCUAGUAAUCG